rnacentral:lncRNA from 1 species
CCGCCGUAGUUGCCUUCAUCCGCUCCCUAAGUUAUGGGCAAUCUUUGACUCGAUGCUCCAACUCAUCACAUCUAUAAUAUCUGAUCUUGCUAUAGUCCCUUGACUUAAAUCUAGACUACCUAUCUUGUGAUCCUGUGUCGCUUCAUCCUCUGCUACCACCACCUCUAAUCACCAUCAAAGUCAAGUCGCCACCUGAAUUCGAAGCUCGAUUCUCUCACCUGAAAAUCUCAUUCUGGAGAAGUGUAGAAGUGACCUCAUCCAUCUUGAUGGUGUU